CGAUAAUUCAACAUUAUGGCAUAUCCUAUGUACGAAGUGGAUUGGAGUGUCCUGCCACCUGACCAAAAUAGAAGGUUCAACCCGGCAUUUAACAUUGCAACCAUAAAACAAGUAGUAAAUGAAGCCAUAGAGAGAGUCGCGCCGGUUUCAGUGCGGAUGCAGACGCCCACGCGGCUCAGAGAUCUGAUCCGCCAGAUUCGCGCGGCACGAACCGCCGCCGAAGAACGGAGCGUUGUUAACAAGGAGUGCGCUUAUAUAAGAUCCACGUUCAGGGAGGAGGACAGCGUUUGGAGAUGUCGCAACAUAGCGAAACUGCUGUACAUCCACAUGCUGGGCUACCCGGCGCACUUUGGCCAGCUGGAGUGCCUCAAGCUGAUCGCCAGCCCGCGGUUCACGGACAAGCGGGUGGGGUACCUUGGGGCUAUGUUGCUACUGGACGAGAGGCAGGACGUACAUCUGCUGAUCACGAAUUGUUUGAAGAAUGACCUGAACAGCAACACGCAGUUCGUAGUCGGUCUCGCGCUAUGCACGCUCGGCGCGAUCGCAUCCCCAGAAAUGGCCCGAGACCUUGCGUCUGAAGUGGAGCGUCUCAUAAAGUCGCCAAACGCGUACAUCAAGAAGAAGGCGGCGUUGUGCGCGUUCAGGAUCAUAAGGCGAGUGCCGGAUCUGAUGGAAAUGUUCCUGCCGGCAACUAGGAGCCUCUUGACUGAGAAGAACCAUGGUGUGCUUAUCACCGGCGUGACCCUCAUCACGGAAAUGUGCGAGAACAGUCCGGACACGCUUAACCAUUUCAAAAAGGAGAGCGGGCAACGCGAGAUUGUGCCGAAUUUGGUGAGAAUAUUGAAGAACUUAAUCCUCGCUGGUUAUUCGCCGGAGCACGAUGUCAGUGGUGUCUCCGAUCCAUUCCUACAGGUGAAAAUCCUUCGUCUCCUCCGGAUACUGGGCAAGAACGACGCGGAAGCGUCCGAAGCGAUGAACGACAUCCUCGCCCAGGUCGCGACCAACACGGAGACGAGCAAGAAUGUCGGCAACACGAUAUUAUACGAAACUGUGCUUUCUAUCAUGGACAUUAAGUCGGAGAGUAGCUUGCGCGUGCUCGCCAUCAAUAUACUGGGACGGUUCUUGCUGAAUAAUGAUAAGAAUAUAAGAUAUGUGGCGUUGAACACGCUGCUGAGGACGGUACACGUGGACACGUCUGCGGUGCAGAGACAUAGGACGACUAUAUUGGAGUGUUUAAAGGAUCCCGACGUGUCCAUCCGGCGGCGGGCUAUGGAGCUGUCGUUCGCGCUGAUCAACGGGCAGAAUAUACGCGCCAUGAUGAAGGAGCUGCUGGUGUUCCUGGAGCGGUCCGACGCAGAGUUCAAGGCGCACUGCUCCAGCGCGAUGGUGCUGGCGGCCGAGCGGCAUGCGCCGAGCAGCAAGUGGCACCUGGACACGCUGUUCCAGGUGCUGCUGAAGGCGGGCAACUACCUCCGCGACGACACCGUGUCGAACACCAUCCAGAUAGUGUCCGCGGCGCCGGGCGAGCGGCAGGCGUACGCGGCCAUGCGGCUCUGGAUCUCGCUCGAGCGCGCCGCCGUCUGCGGCGACGCCACCGAGAAGCAGCCGCUCGUGCAGGUUGCGGCUUGGACGAUAGGAGAGUACGGAGACAUGCUGGUCUCGGAAGCCAGUAACGCCAUAUCUAUGGUAGACGACGACGGAGUCGACGAGUUCAGCCGGCCGUCCGAGGAGUACGUGAUCGACGUGUACCAGAAGCUGUUGUGGUCGACGCAGCUGUCGAUUACCACCAAGGAGUUCCUGCUGCUGUCGCUGGCCAAGCUCUCCACCAGGUUCACCACGCAGCCGAGUCAGGAUAAAAUCCGCGUGAUCAUAGACACGUUCGGCUCUCACAUACACAUCGAACUGCAACAGAGAGGUGUCGAGUUGUCACAGCUGUUCAGGCAGUACGCGUCGCUGCGGCCGGCGCUGCUGGAGCGCAUGCCGGCGAUGGAGGCGGGCGCGCCGCCCGAGCGGGACGACAGCGACGCGGAGCCCGAGCCGGCGCUCGCCGCGCCGCCGCCCGACCAGGACGCCCUAUUGGAUCUCAUCAUCGGCUCGGAGCCGCUGUCCAAUGGUGACGUGGAACACGCAGCGCCCGCCGCCAACAACAACACUACUACCAAUGACAUUCUCGAUCUACUGAGCGGUCUCGACCUGAGCGCGACUAGCACUAUGCCCGCGAGCGCGCCCGUGAGCGGAGUAAGCGCAAUGAGCGGUGUCAGCGGCGUGAGCAGCCUCAAUAACAAUAUGGCGCCCUCUUUGCUAGAUGGACUGUUUGCCUCGCCAUCUGCUGUCACUAAUGCUGCGCCCUCGGAGACGAUAGUAACGGCGCUGGAGCGCAACGGCCUCCGCGUGGAGCUGCACGUGCGGCGCGGCGGCGAGACGGCCGCGAUCACGAUGCGCGCGCACUCCACCGCGCCCGCCGCCAUCACGGACUUCCUCUUCCAGGCCGCUGUGCCGAGGACAUUCCGACUGGACAUGAUGUCGCCGUCGGGCAGCGUGCUGACGCCGCAGGGCGAGAUCACGCAACUGCUCAAGGUCACCAACCCCUCCAAGACUCCACUCCGUCUCCGGAUAAGGGUGUCGUACACGAUCGACGGCAACCCGGUCCUGGAGCAGGCGGAGGUGAACAACUUCCCCCCGGACCUGUUCAACUGACGCGCGGCCCUCUGUCUCUAGCGGCCCGCGGAGCAAGGCCCACGGGACACAUGACCCACGGGACAUACGACCCGUGGGUCAUGGGCCACACGGAUAGAGUCACACUCGGCCUACGAAACUUGGCCCGUGCGCCCCGUGGACCAUGAGACACUCGGCCCAUGAGACAAGUGGCCCACGGGACACAUGCACCCACGAUAGAAGGCAUACGAUAAUUAUUACCGGUUUGGAGGGAUGCACGGACAAACAGACAGUGUUAGAUAUUUUUGUGAUUAUUGUUAUAUAUUAUUCUGGUGUUGAAAAUUAGAAAUGGAAGGGAAAUUGAGUCAAAACUCAAAAUAUUUAAAGAAGGUUAGUCAUUGUAUUUAAUUGAUAAAUACAAGAUGUUGAAACACCAAUUCUCUUUAUUGUAAUCAUUGUUAAUACCCCAAAAUUAUGGCUACAUAUGACUGAAUAAUAUAUCAUUCACAAAAUUAUCUUACGCCCAAUGUAUAGUGAUGCCUAACUGUAUAAUUGGUAGAUGUUAGUCGCUAUGUGGUAUGGCUGCUUUAUAUAUUGUCAUUUUAAGUUUAUUAACAAAGCACCUAACAUAUAAUAACAUAAAUUAAAAGAAAAAUAAAUAACAAUUUCAAAACAUUUUAUAUAACCUAUAUUUUAACUUCUGAGUCCAAAUGUUCGUAAGAAAUUCGAAUUCUUUGAUGAUUCAGAAACGGCUAAAUAAAUAUAUUGUCUAUUUUUUAUGUGGAAAUUAUGUUCAUAAUUUAUCUAUGCUAAAUGUAUAUUAUAGCAGCCAUACAAACAAACACGCUGUACAAAUAGCGGUUGGCCAUAUUGGCUUGUGGGUCGUUCCUUAAGCUGCAAUUUGAGAAAUUAGACACAACCGUAUGUAAUAUAGUGGUGAAAGAUAGUUAUCGGUAAUAACGUCACACUUUAAAUAAUACUAACGUAACAAUCCCUUAUAAAUUCUCAUUUAAAUAUGGUAUCCCACUUCCAUCUUUUUUCUACGAGAUUUAAUGGGAAUUUUUCAUAUAUUUUCACUUAUUUAUAUUAUUAAUUUCUUUGUGAAUAUCUUAUUGCUACUAAUGCUCGCUAAAAGAUUGUUAAAUAGUAAAUAUGACAAAUAAUUUUUAUAAACAUGCAGUGAUAUACAACAAAUUUACUGCUUUUCUAUAUAAAUACUAUAAUGAAAAGAUUUUUUUUGAAUUUUCGUUUCUAAUAAUUGCGCUUAUAAUAAAACUGGAACCCAUUAUUUAUUCCGAAGUUUCGACUAUUUAAUGUGUGACGUCGUUUAUAGAUGACCUAAGGCCUGAAAACACAUAGAUAUUUUUCUAGGUUAACACUUAAAUUCUAAGUUUAUGUGUUUUUCAGGCCGUACUUAGAGAUUCGUUUAACAUUCCACUUUAGAUAAAUACUAAAAGACUUAUUCAUUCGUGUGACUGGGGCCCAUUGUGCGGACGUGGUCUUUCUAUUAAUUCCUCAAACAACAAUAUAAUAUUAUUUUUUAUAAAUUUUUCAUACAACUGACUUUAAAUUUGAAUGUAAAUGGUUCUUAAAUUUUUGUUCGCAAUCGCGAGUAUGAUAAAUUAUGACUUUUAAAAUCGUCAUCAUUCUUAUUGCUAAAUAUAGUUGAAAACAGAAGGAUUAUUUAUGAAAAACAUUAUGGGAUUCAAUUGUCAGUAUUAUUCAAAUCUCAUACAACUUACCGCAAAAAAUAUAUGCAGGAGCUGCAAAAUGAAAAUUAUCUUCGUUCAAAUGGUACAGGACUGGCAUUUUUAUGUUUGCUUUAAUUUCCAUAAAAUUUACUUACCGCAACGUAAAUAAAUGUAUAACGAAAAUGGAUUAAAAAAAGAUUUUUUAAUCCAUUCGGUUUUUGGUUGGUAACCUUUAGGUAAAGAUUUAUUUCAACAUGGGCUAAAACAUCUGUUAUGUAUAUAGGGAAGAUGUGUAUAAUAAGAUGUAUAGUAAGGCAGGAUUGAUUGUAUGUGAAUUGUACUUAAUAUCAUAUUUUAUUUAAGAUUUCUAACAUCAUUAAAAAUUACGUGCCCUAAACUAAUGUAGUAAAUAUGAAAUAUUUAAUUUAUCUUAUAGUAUUUCUCAAAUUUGAUUUAUGCAUUUUAUGAUAUUCAUUUAAUUAGUCAUUAUUUUAAUUUUAAUGCUUGACCAUAUUUGAGGGUUGUAGAAUCACUUCCAAUCAUCCUCUAUCGAUUACAAUAGAUUUUUAAAUUGUCAGUAUAGUUUUACAAAAUGUUUUAUCUGCUGUCAAUUCUAUUAUUGAAAUAGUACUGUUCCUUUAAAAGAAAGUUUUUUAUUCAGCGACAAUGUAAAUAGAUAAUGCAUAUAUGUAAGAGUAUAGUUAGAGACCGUUAACGCUACCCUGAGCCCAUCUUUCAUGUUUUGGGACAUAACGUAAGUGCUUAUUAUUUUGUUAUUUAUGUUAGCCACUAACCAGCACAUUAUAUUGAGAUAUUUAUAUAAAAUAAACACGUGUUCGCACGACAGUUUUAUUUUUUAGUUACAUUUAUUUUUCCAUUAUAAAGAGAGCUUCGCAAAAGAUACAUAAUAUAUCGCAAUUUGGUGCUUCAUUUUAUCUAAGUAUCUAACUAGAAGGCCCUCCACGAUGUGAGAUGAUUUAGCGCUAUGUGAGAGAUGUACAUAAUAAUGAUUUUAUGUAAAUUGGUUAAUAAAUAUUUGAGAAUGUUUAUAUAAUCA
rnacentral:misc_RNA from 1 species